rnacentral:tRNA from 1 species
UGCAGAAAUCGGGAUCGAACCAGGGACCUUUAGAUCUUCAGUCUAACGCUCUCCCAACUGAGCUAUUUCGGU